GUUUGCACUCAUCGGGGAAGGGUGAGAACCUUCGACUAAGGUUCGAUUCGAGCGAAAGCGAGAGAACGUUGCCACAGGCAACGGCCCGAAGGGUGAGGAGCGAAGCGACGAAUAAUCCUUCCCCCCACCACCA
rnacentral:sRNA from 1 species